GACGAACGCUGGCGGCGUGCCUAACACAUGCAAGUCGAGCGGGGAUAGAUGAAGUGCUUGCACAGAAUCUAUUCUAGCGGCGGACGGGUGAGUAACGCGUGAACAAUCUGUCCUAAACAGGGGGAUAACAACUGGAAACAGUUGCUAAUACCGCAUAAGACCACGCUUCCGCAUGGAAGAGGGGUAAAAGAGCAAUCCGGUUUAGGGUGAGUUCGCGUCCCAUUAGCUAGUUGGUGAGGUAACGGCCCACCAAGGCAACGAUGGGUAGCCGACCUGAGAGGGUGAUCGGCCACACUGGGACUGAGACACGGCCCAGACUCCUACGGGAGGCAGCAGUGGGGAAUAUUGGGCAAUGGGCGAAAGCCUGACCCAGCAACGCCGCGUGAGGGAUGAAUGUUUUCGGAUUGUAAACCUCUGUCCUCAGGGAAGAAACAAAUGACGGUACCUGAGGAGGAAGCCCCGGCUAACUACGUGCCAGCAGCC
rnacentral:rRNA from 1 species